GUCAAUCUUAUCCGUCCAUUCAAACAACAAACGGCCACUUGGCACCGCCUGUCCCCCGCGAUUCCACGAAAAGGACCCACAGAUGAGCAGUCCAGGUCGAGCUUGGAUGGCUCUGAUUGAGACCCCCCGCACCCGGAGAGCGACUCCCUCCCCACCACCUGAUCGUAUUCUACUGCUUUUCAUAAUGACGGAAACCUCUUCCAAUACCCACAGAACGCACACCGCCUCCCGAUUCACCCCAAAUAACCAAUCAUGCAGGGCCCACGUCGCACAGAAUGGGUGCAAAUUUGGGCGUGAGAUGGGGAUCUCACAUUAGGAUUUCAAAGUUACGGAAGUUGUAGGUCCACGGGCAAAAGAGGCAGAAGACCCCACAUUUGGAACCCGCCAUCAAAGCGACGGAGACCCACGCAUUGGAGAACG
rnacentral:lncRNA from 1 species